AUUGAACGCUGGCGGCAUGCCUUACACAUGCAAGUCGAACGGCAGCACGGGAGCAAUCCUGGUGGCGAGUGGCGAACGGGUGAGUAAUAUAUCGGAACGUGCCCAGUCGUGGGGGAUAACGUAGCGAAAGCUACGCUAAUACCGCAUACGAUCUAUGGAUGAAAGCGGGGGAUCGCAAGACCUCGCGCGAUUGGAGCGGCCGAUAUCAGAUUAGGUAGUUGGUGAGGUAAAGGCUCACCAAGCCGACGAUCUGUAGCUGGUCUGAGAGGACGACCAGCCACACUGGGACUGAGACACGGCCCAGACUCCUACGGGAGGCAGCAGUGGGGAAUUUUGGACAAUGGGCGCAAGCCUGAUCCAGCAAUGCCGCGUGCAGGAUGAAGGCCUUCGGGUUGUAACUGCUUUGUACGGAACGAAACGGUGAGCUCUAAUACAGUUGCUAAUGACGGUACCGUAAGAAUAAGCACCGGCUAACUACGUACG
rnacentral:rRNA from 1 species